UGUCCACUUACCUGGAGUUGGUGGGGGACCAUUACAGGGACCUCCCCACGCCUGGAAACCUUUGAUUAUGUACAGGGAGAACAGUCAAAUAGCAAAAAACGAACCCCUACUUCAUGUCAGGCACCUCAGUAGCCGAGGCAGAGAAAGCCAGAAUCCCGUGCUCGUGGAGAAGGCUGUCUGCAGAAGAUGAUGCAGCAGCUGAGGCCCAGCGAGAUGAAGAGCCCUAUCCAAGGUCGCUCAGCUAACCUGCAGCAGAAUGAGGACUUAAACUCCAGUCUGAUGAUCCAAAAGCCAGGCAGUGAGGCUGCUGCUGUCACAGACAAGGCCAGAAGUGGGGGUGGCCUCAGUGGAUCCAGAGCCGCAGACGUGCAGGCCCAGCAGGGACCUGAAGGGAAGUGACAGGACUCAGCGAGCACUGCUGAGGCAGAGGGGCAGGACGCGCUGCAAGCUCCGCCCUGACCAGCUGGACGGACAGCAUCCGCUGGGUCAUUUACUGCAGUGGAGAAUGAGGGGAAGGAGAGAGGUUUAGAGGGGAAAAACAUCUAAACUUGAUGUACUCUACUUCAUAAAAUAAAACUGGGGUAAUCCCAUGCCUAGAA
ensembl:lncRNA